GUCUGCAUGGCUCAGUUGGUUAGAGCGCCGGUCUCAUAUGUAGCAUGUUGUGCGUAACAUCAAUGUGAACCUUCCAGGGGGUACAAUCCGGAGAUCGCCAGUUCGAUCCUGGCUGCGGACA